rnacentral:rRNA from 1 species
GACGAACGCUGGCGGUGUGCUUAACACAUGCAAGUCGAACGGUAAGGCCCUUUCGGGGGUACACGAGUGGCGAACGGGUGAGUAACACGUGAGUAACCUGCCCUCAUCUCUGGGAUAACAGUCGGAAACGGUUGCUAAUACUGGAUAUGAGCUUGCAAGGCAUCUUGUGGGUUGGAAAGAUUUUUUUUGGUUGGGGAUGGACUCGCGGCCUAUCAGCUUGUUGGUGAGGUAGUGGCUCACCAAGGCUUCGACGGGUAGCCGGCCUGAGAGGGCGACCGGCCACAUUGGGACUGAGAUACGGCCCAAGCUCCUACGGGAGGCAGCAGUGGGGAAUAUUGCACAAUGGACGGAAGUCUGAUGCAGCAACGCCGCGUGCGGGAUGACGGCCUUCGGGUUGUAAACCGCUUUCAAUUGUGACGAAGCUUUUUUGUGACGGUAGCAGUAGAAGAAGCACCGGCUAACUACGU